UUCCAAAAGCUGCACACUGCGCAGCCCAGGCGCUUUCCUGGUAGCUCCUGGAAGUGUUUGGGCCUGAUUCUGCCCCCGAAGCUCGCGAUCCGGAGAGCAGCUCUGGAGCUGCAGGAAUAUAAAUAAGGGAGAAGCAGGCCCUGCCAGAGGAUACCAAAACAAACAGAGGAUAAACCAGCCUGGGAAAUUUGACUCUGAGAUAGCACGGGGAGAACUCUUUGAGUUAAAACUGUGGAAAGACGGGGCAUUCGCCUUUCAAGAAGAGUCGAUUUUUGCAGCCCUCCCACCAGCAGGACCGGGAGCGACGGCGAGGGAUCGGCGUCACAUACCAGCAGAGUUACCGCUCACUCUAGAGAGUUUCCAUCGGAUCGGGACAGAGUUUUGCUUUCUGCCCCCACACACACACAGCCCUGGCUUGUCACUGCUGAUUCACCCCCAAAAUACCAGCAGCUGGGCAGUAUCUGCUCCGGGUUGUCCCAUUGCCCCCAGCAGCAAAUCAAGACAGAAAAGAAAUUGCCUUUGCAACGGCAACUUUUGAUGGCACUGAGGUUCCUGAAUCGUUCAGGGUGGCAGUGCACAGCCGGGAUCAGAUCAACAAGCCUGCUUCCCAGCAUCAGCUCUGCCCUCAACACGUGGUGGGACCCUGCCAGCCUCUAAAAUACAGACUUAGGAAUAAAUCAGGAAAACAAACCCGCAGUUUUGCUGCGUGCAUUUCCCCACAACCUGGAAGCCAGUAUAAUUUUGCUGCUGAGGAGAUGGAACAGAGACCUCCUGUGCCAUUGCACCAGGUACAGAGCAUCGCCAGCUUCUGCCCCUCAGUCCCACCGGAGAGGGACACAGGCUGUGAGCCCAGCACAUGCAGGAGACACAAACGUGGCUGUGGGAUACAUGCAAAGCCCUCACAGCACAGCCACCAGCAAAGCCCUGACCCAGGCUGGGACCUCUCUUCCCCGGCAGCUGCUGGAUGCAGCACAUAGGGAUGCUUUCCCGGUGGUGGCCCAGGGGCCACAGCUGGUUUGGAAGAUGCCCGUACAGACGUGCAUGGGGGUGUACAUCAGGAGCUGGGACAAAUUCAGAAGAUCCUCAUUCCCGUGCAUUACAGAAGACGGGAUGAAGAUUCUAGCCAAAACCAGGGAACCAAAGGAACCAGCUGACAACAGCAGGAUCAGCAGGGACACUGCAAAGACUCCAGAAAACCCCAGACCUAGGUUGUACCUGGCAGUGGGACCGGCCAGGUACGGGCAAAGCUCAGGGCUCUUGUUGGACCUAAUCAGCAAAUAAUCAAAAAAUAAUCUGCUUCUGAGAGUGCAGAGCAGAUCUUACAUUAAGGCUCCUGAGGCUGUCAGUGGAGACAAACACCUCCGGUCCCCCCUCACCUGGCACAGCAUGACAUGGUGCCCGAGAGAGGACUGCUGGGCUUGGCUCCCCCUUCUUAGACUUUCAAACCUUAAAAUAAAUUUGCCCGGCCUGGGUUACCUUGUUGCCACUGAAUUCAAGGCAGCAGUAGAAAUGACCAAGCUGAACACAAAACCUUUCUUUUCUCCCCUCCUCUCUCUCUCUUCCCCUUCUCUUCCUGCUGCUAUGCUUACUUAACCUCCAGGUACCCGCUUAAAUAACUCAACUAAAUAGCAAUAAUGAACGGACAGAGUCAACACUGUGGUACAUAAUCACCUUGUCUGUUGUGUUUAACGUCAGUGAUCCCUUCUUUGCGUGCAUGACAUUCUUCAGCCUUCGUCUACGUUAAGGAUUUGCUUUUCACUUUGUUUGCAUUUGACUACUAAUAUUGCACCGAUGCACACCGCGGUUUCUCACUGUUAAGUGCAGGUCCUUCCAUACAGCCUAUUCCACCAGGAAUUUCUAGGGAAUUUUAGGAAGCAGGAGGAAUUGCCCAGUUCACUUUACAUCCCCAACUCCCAUUCCUAUUUCCUAAUAUACUUGUGCAAACGGGUGUGCAAAGCACCAGCUGUUUACUCCCAUGAGUGACUCCCUGAGAGCGUUACAGACCCUCAAACGGUGCUGCUCUAAAACACCAAUUCUACAAUUAGUUGCAAAAGGGAAACAGGAACUGCUAAAGUUUCACAUCUUUAUAGCUGCCAGAAGUAUUUUUACAGGAAGGGUCUACGAUGUUACCGUUGUGAAAAUAUUUAACUUUAAGAUUUGAAAAGAGACUCUUUUAACAAA